UUUUUUUACGUGAAAUAUUGUAACGCAAAUACUAAAAAUAAGUUCUGUUCUGGAGCAUGUUACACCUAUGCAAAAUUUACUUCCCUCCGUUUAUUUUCUCUUCCUGAAAGCAUAAUCUUCUGUUUCUGUGCACUUGCUAGUAAAUGAUAUAGUGAAAAUAAUUUUGUACUAAAAGAGGGAAGAAACUGUUCAUAAGAGUUCAGCUGUUCAGAAGAAACAGACUUUGUUUUCAUGAUAAAAGCUUUAUGCUUUUGCAGUCCAUGAGUUUUUUAAAAUAGCUUAUAGGAGUACUCGACAACCUUACUGAGAUAACUAGCAUCUGUGCUAAAAGCAAUCAAGGUCAAAGAAGAGACGUGGACAGAACAGGACAAAUUGGCAUCGCAUCUGUGUGUUUUCCAGGCUUUCCCAGGAAGCACUGGCAGCCCUGUAACUAGUGACAGUGAGUCCUGAUUGUUUUUGAUGAGUUACUGCUUCAGUAAUGUAUUUUUUCCUUUAACCUACAGCGUGUCAUUUUGACUUCAGUUGGAAAGAGAUUUUCCAAAAUGGAAGUCUUUGUCACUCAAAGAAAUUUUCUUUUAUGAACUUCCCAUCAGAGUGGAUCUUCAGAGGUGAUCGACUUGACAGUAGAAGUCAUCAGUAACAAGACUUUUCACUCUCUUUAAAAAGAGGGGGGAAAAAAAAAAAAAAAGUCAAUUUCCUUCCAAAGACCCAAGCACAGCCCAUCUUCCUAAAGUUGAUGGCAUCACUGGUCUUUGGUUUCUCAGUUGUAACAGUCGAGACAACGUGAAAAUGUGUUGCUCUGCGUGCUUCAGUACAGCCAAAAGCAUUAGGAAAUCUGCCAGUCCUUUUUGGUAGUCUGAGGUAUUGCAGCACUGGGGAUUUUACAAAUUGACCUGCAUUGUUUAAAGUGUAACUGCCAAAUAGCUGUAGUAUAUCAUUUAUGAGGUGUAUGUAAGCGGUUAGGUAUUUUUCUAAAUGUUUAAAAAGAGAGGCAACUGAAUGUUACGGGUUUUCUUUCCUGACGUUUUGACAGAGUGCUCUGAAGUACUUUCUUUCUGUCUGGCUUUCAAUGGUGUGUUUCCCUGGCAGUUCAGUAGCACCUCUCUUGGGCAGCGCAGCUGGCCAGGUGUUCCUCCUCAUUACGUAACGCACACAAAAACCCCUAGUCACGUUAUAACUGUGUACUUUGGAGAUAGAUAAUUUAACGGUAGGAAUUCAGAGCUGUGCAAGUUAAGGUAAUGCAAAAGGAAAACCAAAUACUUUUACAGUAUAAGUAUUCUUAUUGGAUGUAUAUAAACGUGGGCACACCCUUUGAGUGUAAAGUGAAUUAUUGAGAUUUAUUCUUUAUUUUUCAUUUUGCUCUUUGAAGUUUUCCACUUCACUUUCAGCUUUAUUCACCAAACAAGCAAGAUGCAAAGCAGCAGCAGCAGCAGCCCAAGGGCUGUAGCUGUUGCGGUGGAUCCGUAAGCAUAGAUUCUGAUUGUGUACGACCUCGUCCCGCAGCCUCCCGGGGUUCUCUCCCUGCAGCAGUGCUGUAAGGAAGGGAGGAGAUGUUUUCCAACCCCGGCAAGAGUGUUUACUUGUGUGCUAAGCAGGUGUUCAAAAUGGUAUCAAUUAGCCUAAAUGCUGAUUUUAAGCGUUCAAAUCGCUCUUAACUUUUAAAGGAGGGUGGUGUAUUUCGAGCUGACCUGUUUACCUGGAAUCCUCCUUUAGCUCAGCGACUCUCCUUGUGCACCCCCAGCCUCCGCUGGCAGGGCGGUAUGAGAAGCUGGAAGGUCCUUGACUUAGUAUAAACCCUGCUUAGCAACAACUAAAGCGUCGGUGUGUUGUCAACGUUAUUCUCGUCCUAAAUCCAAAAUGGCCCUGUACCAGCUACUCGGAAGAAAAUUAACUUUAUUCCAGCCAAAACCAGGACAACCCCAACCCCCCUGAUUCUGGGUCUGCAACAGGGGAAAAAAAAAACAAACGAAUUUGGGACUCCUGGGAAAGCCAAAUCCGCCUGGAUCUGUGCAGCUGGAAAGGAAAAAUCCCACCCCGUUUUCACGCGCAAAACCACAACCAAAAGAUCACCCCUUUUUAUGUUGUGGAAAAGCACUGAAACACACCCCAAACUGAGUAUUUUGAAAAAGCAAAAAGCUUGCCAGUUUGGGGAAGAUUGGGGGCGAAGCACAGGCAGUUUGAGGGGCAUUGCUGGGGGUCCUCCCAGUGUGGAUGAUCUGGUGUGGAUUCUCUGUUGCGCGUUAUCCCAGGUGAGUUACCUGCUGUGGAUCAUCCCGGGUGGACUCCCUGGGGUAGGUCAUCCUCGCCCGUGUCCCCCCAUCCACCUUUGUACCCUCACCUACCCUCCCCCCGUGUGUGUUUCUCCCCCAUGUGCCCCCCGUUGCUCCGGCCCGCCCCCUUCACCCACGCGAGUUUUUAACCCGUGCGAGUUGUUUCCCCCCCGCGUGCCCUGCUCUCCUAUCUCCUGCCCUCGCCCCCCCCCCCCCUUUCCCUCCUCCAUAUGCCACACCACCCCCCCCAUCAUCUGUCAGGCUCCAGACCCCUGGCAUGCUGCCUGCACCCCAUUCUCUGUCAUUUUUUUUCUUCUUUUCCUUACAAGUUGUUGCUGUUGUUUCUUUUUAAUGAUUAAACUCUUUUCGUUUCCAGCCACGAGUUUUCUCACUUUCGCCCUUCCGAUUGUCUCCCCGUCCCACUGGCGGCGGGGGAGCGAGUGAGCGGUCGCGUGGGGCUUCGUUGCCGGCUGGGGUUAGACCACGACACGAGAGGCUGCGCUGAGGGCAUGGUUGUCUCUUCCUCCCUUGGGGAUGCCGUUGACUGCAGCAGCCUCAGGCUUGCGUGGGCUGUCUCUGCCUGGCCUCCCUCUCCGCGCGGCGCGGGAGCACAAAGGGACAGGCGGGGCACUUACCGGCUGUGGGCAGGAGCUGCUGCGGCUGAAGCUGGAGAGGCCAGAGAAAGGUAGAGAAGAAGAAAUGGAAGGCCGGCCGGCCGGCAGCUGCCUCCCGCUGCAGGCAAGAGAGAGCCUGCCUCUCCGGGUGUGGAAGGAUCCCUCCUCGUAGUCCGCAGCAGGUCAGACUGCCGAGGUGCACUGCAGGGUCCGUAUGCAGCACCGACGGUGCCGUACGGCCACGUAGUGUGCGAGCGAGCGAGGCUCUGUGCCUAGGAAGCCUCGUCUUGCAAGACCUGUGAGACACGUGUUCUCCUAGGGGGAGGAGGACAGCCGUGCAGCCGGAGUUACAGCAGAGGAGGGGAGCGGGAGAGGAGCAGAAAGAAGCGUCUGAACUGGCCAAUUCUCCUGGCAGCGCCAAGAACAAGAGCUGUGGACUGGUGUUUGUCAAGGAUUAAGCCUGCCAGAGACUGGUA